AUGAGUUGUCUUAGCUGGAACUGCCGGGGGCUUGGGAACCCAGCGGCAGUUCGCGAGCUUCGCAACAUAGUGAAGCAGGAAGGGCCCGGUCUCCUGUUUGUUAUGGAGACGAAAAUUUCAGCUCAACGUGUUGAGAGCUUGAAAACCUUGCUAGGGUUUGCGAGCUGCUUUGCAGUUAGCAGCGCGGGCUUGAGUGGGGGGAUUGGUAUGUUUUGGUCUGCGGACUUG
rnacentral:rRNA from 1 species